CCCCUCCAGAUCCCUUCCCACUCAGAUCUCAACACUGGUCUGAGUGGUUAUAAAAGGAAGAAAAGUCAAAGUGAGCCUGAAAUUCUCUCAUGGCACACAACAAACAAAA
rnacentral:snoRNA from 1 species